rnacentral:rRNA from 1 species
AUGUCGCUCAAGUGCGCCGUGGAUCUCGGCAUCCCGGGCUCUAUCCACCGCCGCGGCGGCACCGCCACCCUGGCCAACACCAAGGUGCACCCGGCCAGGCUUGCCGACCUCCGGCGCGUCAUGGAGCUGCUCAGCGCCUCGGGUAUCUUCAGCGCCACCGCCUGUGCUACCGAUGGCACGGCCGCCGAAGUGCAGUACGGGAUGACCACGGCGUGCCGCUUCCUCGUCGGCUGGCGCAACCUGUCCCCCGUGGCGCAACCUGACCACAGCGAGCUCUUCCUCGAGGUCAUCCUUCUGGACAAGGGCCGCAUCUUCCGCGGCCUGAGCUCGCUCGUGGAUGUCGGCGGCGGCAACGGCGCGGGCACGCGGGUGAUGGCCAAGGCGUUCCCGCGCAUCAAGUGCGACGUGCUAGACCUCCCUCACGUUGUCGGCCAGGCCGCCGGUGACCAUGGCAACCUGCGUAUCGUCGCAGGUGACAUGUUUGAAUCCAUUCCACCCGCGGAUGUUGUCUUGCUCAACAACAUCAUGCAUGACUGGGGUCAUCAAGAUUGCGUCAAAAUACUUCAACUUGCAAGGAGGCUAUCCCUGCCAAGAACUCAGGAGGGAAGGUGA